CCUACGGGUGGCUGCAGUGAGGAAUAUUGGUCAAUGGCCGAGAGGCUGAACCAGCCAAGUCGCGUGAGGGAAGACGGCCCUACGGGUUGUAAACCUCUUUUGUCGGGGAGCAAAGCGCGUCCCGUGUGACUCAUUGAGAGUACCCGAAGAAAAAGCAUCGGCUAACUCCGUGCCAGCAGCCGCGUUAAUACGGGGGAUGCGAGGGGUAUCCGGCUUUAUUGGGUUUAAAGGGUGCGCAGGCGGAGGUGCAAGUCAGCGGUCAAAUUGCGGGGCUCAACACCGUACUGCCGUUGAAACUGCAUCCAUGGAGUGCGGGAGACGUAUGCGGAAUGCGUGGUGUAGCGGGGAAAUGCAUAGAUAGCACGCAGAACUCCGAUUGCGAAGGCAGCAUACCGGCGCGCAACUGACGCUCAUGCACGAAAGCGUGGGUAUCGAACAGGAUUAGAUACCCCUGUAGUC
rnacentral:rRNA from 1 species